AGAGUUUGAUCCUGGCUCAGGAUGAACGCUGGCGGCGUGCCUAAUACAUGCAAGUCGAGCGAACAGAUAAGGAGCUUGCUCCUUUGAAGUUAGCGGCGGACGGGUGAGUAACACGUGGGUAACCUACCUAUAAGACUGGGAUAACUUCGGGAAACCGGAGCUAAUACCGGAUAACAUUUAGAACCGCAUGGUUCUAAAGUGAAAGAUGGUUUUGCUAUCACUUAUAGAUGGACCCGCGCCGUAUUAGCUAGUUGGUAAGGUAACGGCUUACCAAGGCGACGAUACGUAGCCGACCUGAGAGGGUGAUCGGCCACACUGGAACUGAGACACGGUCCAGACUCCUACGGGAGGCAGCAGUAGGGAAUCCUCCGCAAUGGGCGAAAGCCUGACGGAGCAACGCCGCGUGAGUGAUGAAGGGUUUCGGCUCGUAAAACUCUGUUAUUAGGGAAGAACAAAUGUGUAAGUAACUGUGCACAUCUUGACGGUACCUAAUCAGAAAGCCACGGCUAACUACGUG
rnacentral:rRNA from 1 species